UACGUAGGGUGCAAGCGUUGUCCGGAAUUAUUGGGCGUAAAGAGCUCGUAGGCGGUCUGUCGCGUCUGCUGUGAAAACUCAGGGCUUAACCCUGAGCUUGCAGUGGGUACGGGCAGACUAGAGUGCGGUAGGGGUGACUGGAAUUCCUGGUGUAGCGGUGGAAUGCGCAGAUAUCAGGAGGAACACCGAUGGCGAAGGCAGGUCACUGGGCCGCAACUGACGCUGAGGAGCGAAAGCAUGGGGGAGCGAACAGG
rnacentral:rRNA from 1 species